CACGUAGGGCGCAAGCGUUGUCCGGAAUUAUUGGGCGUAAAGAGCUCGUAGGCGGUCUGUUGCGUCUGCUGUGAAAACCCGGGGCUUAACCCCUGGCUUGCAGUGGAUACGGACAGACUAGAGGUAGGUAGGGGAGAAUGGAAUUCCCGGUGUAGCGGUGAAAUGCGCAGAUAUCGGGAGGAACACCGGUGGCGAAGGCGGUUCUCUGGGCCUUACCUGACGCUGAGGAGCGAAAGCGUGGGGAGC
rnacentral:rRNA from 1 species